rnacentral:rRNA from 1 species
AGUGAACGCUGGCGGUAGGCCUAACACAUGCAAGUCGAACGGCAGCACAGUAAGAGCUUGCUCUUACGGGUGGCGAGUGGCGGACGGGUGAGGAAUACAUCGGAAUCUACUUUUUCGUGGGGGAUAACGUAGGGAAACUUACGCUAAUACCGCAUACGACCUACGGGUGAAAGCAGGGGAUCUUCGGACCUUGCGCGAUUGAAUGAGCCGAUGUCGGAUUAGCUAGUUGGCGGGGUAAAGGCCCACCAAGGCGACGAUCCGUAGCUGGUCUGAGAGGAUGAUCGGCCACACUGGAACUGCGACACGGUCCAGACUCCUACGGGAGGCAGCAGUGGGGAAUAUUGGACAAUGGGCGCAAGCCUGAUCCAGCCGUACCGCGUGGGUGAAGAGGGCCUUCGGGUUGUAAAGCCCUUUUGUUGGGAAAGAAAAGCAGCAGGUUAAUACCCCGCUGUUCUGACGGUACCCAAAGAAUAAGCACCGGCUAACUUCGUG